rnacentral:misc_RNA from 1 species
CAGGAGACUGACAAGAAGAAGCUUAAUGCUGCAUUGUGUCCACAACAUACAUAUCUGAUAGCAACAGGUGGAAAGUGAUAUUUUUGCAGAAAUUCCACGUGAGAGUAUGGCUUUUUUUAGGAGCUAUUCAAAUCAAACAGUUUCACAUAGUGUACUGGAAGAAAAAGGCCAGGAACAGCGAAUUGGUAGAAUGGGGGGGAAUGAUGAUAUAGAUGUUAUUUCAAGUGAACGGGAAUUUGAUAUCAACAUGGAUGCACAAUAUGAGAGUGAAGGGGAAGAUGCUG